AUUGAACGCUGGCGGCAGGCCUAACACAUGCAAGUCGAGCGAAUGAAGAGAGCUUGCUCUCUGAUUUAGCGGCGGACGGGUGAGUAAUGCCUAGGAAUCUGCCUGGUAGUGGGGGAUAACGUCCGGAAACGGGCGCUAAUACCGCAUACGUCCUACGGGAGAAAGCAGGGGACCUUCGGGCCUUGCGCUAUCAGAUGAGCCUAGGUCGGAUUAGCUAGUUGGUGAGGUAAUGGCUCACCAAGGCGACGAUCCGUAACUGGUCUGAGAGGAUGAUCAGUCACACUGGAACUGAGACACGGUCCAGACUCCUACGGGAGGCAGCAGUGGGGAAUAUUGGACAAUGGGCGAAAGCCUGAUCCAGCCAUGCCGCGUGUGUGAAGAAGGUCUUCGGAUUGUAAAGCACUUUAAGUUGGGAGGAAGGGCAGUAAGUUAAUACCUUGCUGUUUUGACGUUACCGACAGAAUAAGCACCGGCUAACUUCGUGCCAGCCGCCGCAGUAACAC
rnacentral:rRNA from 1 species